rnacentral:rRNA from 1 species
AUUGAACGCUGGCGGCAUGCCUUACACAUGCAAGUCGAACGGCAGCACGGGGCAACCUGGUGGCGAGUGGCGAACGGGUGAGUAAUGCAUCGGAACGUACCUUUCAGUGGGGGAUAACGUAGCGAAAGUUACGCUAAUACCGCAUAUUCUGUGAGCAGGAAAGCAGGGGAUCGCAAGACCUUGCGCUGAUUGAGCGGCCGAUGUCAGAUUAGCUAGUUGGUGAGGUAAAGGCUCACCAAGGCGACGAUCAGUAACUGGUCUGAGAGGAUGAUCAGUCACACCGGAACUGAGACACGGUCCGGACUCCUACGGGAGGCAGCAGUGGGGAAUAUUGGACAAUGGGCGCAAGCCUGAUCCAGCAAUGCCGCGUGUGUGAAGAAGGCCUUCGGGUUGUAAAGCACUUUAGCCUGGAAAGAAAAAACUUUGGUUAACACCCAAAGUCUUGACGGUACCAGGAGAAUAAGCACCGGCUAACUCUGUGCCAGCAGCCGCAGUAA